AUAAACAGUAACGCCGUGUCAGGUCUGGUGUGAAUAGAGCUUUCUGUUUACAAAAUGUCCUCGUGCAUUUUAGACUUUCUUUCUUGGGUGUAUUACGACGAUAGUGAUUGUGUUCAUAUAAUCGUCUUGUUUGUUUUAGUUUUUAGUUUAGUGAUUCUGAUUGUAUACAUCGAGCAACGGUUACAAGCAUUCCUUGAGAAGCAAUAUGCUUUUGUACGAAACGAAAG